GCCGCAUUCCAAAAUAGCAAGCGACGCUUAGCUUUCCUGUUCAAUCUGUUCAUGCAUUCGUGCAGUUUUGGUGAAUCACCAAUAAUGUCAGCUGUGUAACAAAUCUCUGUGUCUUAGAAUUUUCACAAGGAGAUUGGAGAUUUAAGUCCUCGUGGUUGGGUCGGCUGCGAGUUGGAUGGAAAGAGCACUUGGCUACAUAAGUAAUUCCUACCUGCUGUGGAUUAUCAAAGUCUUGCGGUUUCUGAAACAGAUUCUUUUUGCCCUGCCGGGUCAAUUUAUUUCCUACAUCAAAAACUCAACUCCAAUCUACCCUCAAUCAAUGAUGUCUGCUGAAGAUGUGGGGGAGAAAAAGGGGCAGCAAGAUUACGAAAAGCUCCAGCAGUCGUUGGUCUCUCUUUUUAAACCAACCUUGACGAGUGGCUACGAACUAGCCAGCCUGAUUCGUUGGAAGAGUUGCAAAGCCACUGGCAAUGCCCUAAAAAAUAAUGACUUUAGAGUUUUGAUUGAGGUUAUUGAUGAGUCCAAUAACAAAACGAAGAGAAUGUUUUUGGAAACAGCAAUUCCUGUCAUGGAGGAUGGUGUGCUGAUGACAAAAAAAACCAACAUGCUUGGAAGAUUUUCUUCCUGUAAAGAUGCCCUUGUCUUAUCAAGGCAGGAAAUUUUCAACCUUCUAUCCUGCUGCUUCUUCUGCUGUUUUCCAGAGAGUGGUGACAAUAAUAAAGCGGAACUGCUCAAUUUCUCUCAGCUGUUUGAAAAAAAUUAUCUAUCUAGAGGUGAGGCACAGAAAGAGAAGAUUAAGUGUUUGAUGGCUUACUUUUGCAUGGCUGCAAAAUUCUACUGCAAUGAAGUCAUGGCAGAGAUUGUGAGCCUGAAGAGAAAUGUUGUGUUGAGAGCUCCAGAUUGGUCAUCCUCUGAGAAACAAAUCAUUCCUCUGGAGGUAACAUACAGUGACACCGCAAUGAUGGCAUCUAUGUGCAAGGUGGAUUUUGCCAACAAGCGCAUUGGUGGAGGAGUUCUUGGCUCGGGCACAUUGCAAGAGGAAAUCAUGUUCAUCACCUGUCCUGAGCUCAUCAUUGCUAGAUUUUUCUCUUCAAAAAUGGAGGAAAACGAGGCCAUUGUCAUUACUGGUGUUCGCCAAUAUUCUAAUUAUGAUGGAUAUGCCGAGGAUUUCAAGUUCAAGGGAGUUAUUUCUUUGGACAGCAGUUCUGACUUUCCUAUGCAAAUUGUGGCAAUGGAUGCUUUGGACUUCACUCAUAAGCCACCCUACCACCAAUACUCCAAAGAAUGUGUUCAUAGAGAGCUGCUCAAGGCCUAUACUGCUUUUAGUGCUAUUGGUUCGGAGGAAAUUGCCUCUGGAAACUGGGGUGGCGGCUGUUUCAAGGGUGAUCCUGUUUUGAAAGCCAAAAUUCAGAUGAUUGCUGCCUCCGAGGCUGGUAAAAAGGUCCACUUCAAUUCCUUCAAAAAUCAGGAAGUGCAAAAUGAUGUGUCAAGACUAGUAUAUAAUGUGCGCAAAGAUACAGUCGCUGAUGAAUACCACAGUCUGGUCGAAUACUACCUUGCAAAGGCUCGCUCAGCUUUAGAAUCAUCGAUGUCAUCAUACAAAGGACCUGACAAAGGACCAGAUAGAAAAUAUUACAAGAAGCAUAGCCUUGACUCUAAUAGCCAUACAAGUGGAUCCUAUAACUGGUGAUUUUUGGGCCAUAAAAUGCACUGAAACUAAAAAGCAUCCAAAUACUCCAUUUUUGUUUUUUUGCUGUUAGGUGCAAGGUGAGGCAAUUCAUAUUUUUUUGUUGCAUCAAUGAACACCCUUUAUUGGUCUGUUUCCACCUUGUCCUAUUACAAUAAUGUUCAUGGUCACAUCUCCGUUGAAAUUUCCAUCAUUUAAUUGUUUUUUCAGCGAUCGUGCUCUUCUUAAAUCUAAAAUGUUUAGGGGGGCUCGUUAAAAAAGUCACUAGCUUUGAUGUGAUUUCUGUUAGCUUCCUUUAUUUCAAUGGAUGAUUGUCCAGUACCACAGAAAUAAAAAAAAAUCCCAUUAUAUGAUUUCGGCCAAGGUUUUCUGCAUGAUGGCUGUUGGCGCAAGAGAAGAAAUUUAUUUUACACCAAUAAGACACAGAGGUUUUGCAUUUUAUUUUUCAAUAUAUGGACUUUGCAGACAGAUUUAAUCAACGUAGAAAGGAAUAAAUAAUAAAAAAUUUCUAUGCCUUAAUGCCCAAAUUGUGUUAUUUUGUGAAGCAUAGCUAGGUCUAUAGAAACGCCUGCAUUUUUGGGAGGUAUGCAACUGGCACAACCUGAAGAAUGGGGAAUGCAUUUGAGGAGCGGGUAGCGGGUGUAGUGGUGGAGUAGGCAAUGGAGCAGGCGCAUCAAAUUUCGCUUUGCAAGCAAUGCUUCAGUUGUACAUAUGAGUCGUGCUAGCUUUUUGCAGAAUUUGGUGAAUUACUCAGCCGCGCUGAGCGCUGACGACCCUCCUUGUGAUAACUUUCUACAUAUUUAAUAUCGAUUUGAAGGAAAAGACUAGGGCCGGGAGAACGUGUUUGUUGGUUGCCUUUGGAUUUUUAGGCUCUUGUCGAAAAAUAUCUCGCCCUGGGUCAAAUUGGUGCGUACCUUGCACACUCGGCUCCGGUGCU